CCUACGGGUGGCUGCAGUGAGGAAUAUUGGUCAAUGGACGAAAGCCUGAACCAGCCAAGUAGCGUGAAGGAUGACGGUUCUAUGGAUUGUAAACUUCUUUUAUAAAGGAAUAAAAUGAGGCACGUGUGCCUUUUUGUAUGUACUUUAUGAAUAAGGAUCGGCUAACUCCGUGCCAGCAGCCGCGGUAAUACGGAGGAUCCGAGCGUUAUCCGGAUUUAUUGGGUUUAAAGGGUGCGUAGAUGGGCUGUUAAGUCAGUGGUGAAAGUUUGCGGCUCAACCGUAAAAUUGCAAUUGAUACUGGCAGUCUUGAGUAUAGUUGAGGCAGGCGGAAUUCGUGGUGUAGCGGUGAAAUGCUUAGAUAUCACGAAGAACCCCGAUUGCGAAGGCAGCGUACUAAGCCGUGACUGACAUUGAUGCUCGAAAGCGUGGGUAUCAAACAGGAUUAGAUACCCCUGUAGUC
rnacentral:rRNA from 1 species